CCCUUAGAUGUUCUGGGCCGCACGCGCGCUACACUGAUGCAUUCAACAAGCCUAGCCUUGACCGAGAGGUCCGGGUAAUCUUUGAAACUACAUCGUGAUGGGGCUAGAUUAUUGCAAUUAUUAAUCUUCAACGAGGAAUGCCUAGUAAGCGUGAUUCAUCAAAUCGCGUUGAUUACGUCCCUGCCCUUUGUACACACCGCCCGUCGCUCCUACCGAUUGAAUGUGUUGGUGAGGAGCUCGGAUUGGCAGCAGUUGGUGGUUCGCCACCGGCUAUUGCUGAGAAGUCCUCCAAACCGCCCCAUUUAGAGGAAGGAGAAGUCGUAACA
rnacentral:rRNA from 1 species